UUGUCGCUGUUUGGUGUACGCUUGUGUGCUCGUCAUGUGCCGUGAUAGCGCGGGGAUGUUUGCGUUGAAUGCGUUUCACUUCCUCUGCAAAACUGCACGCAUCGGAGAAGUUGUCCUGUGUUCGGGUACCACGUAAGCGCUUGGACACGCGAUAGACAGCUCUCAACGGAUGUUCAACAGUCUGUGCGCGCUUGUUACUUGCUCAUGAGAUUAGUUGCUGUUGUCCUUCUGGAGCUGAGAAGAGGUCUGCUGCCUGCAAUGGGUCCAUCUCUCUCAAGUUGUCGCAGUAUUGUUGCUCUCAAACCUGUGGAGACGACGUUUCUUAGACAUGGCCAUGGUCAUCAAGAAAGAUACCGCGGCCACAGCAUUUCACUGCAGAAGCCAAGCCCACAUGCAGUUCGUCCAGUGACCGUGAAAAGGUCCCCUGGGGCGCAAGUCUAAUUCGGCGCCACAACUUUUCUCCUGCAGCUUCUCUACAUACUUAGCUAACCAGGUGUGUCAAAGAUGGCAAAAGAGAAAAGAAUCAACAGCUUCAAACAUAGAACUUGCUCAAGCUCAAUGCAGUUUAAGUGUGAAGUUCUUCCCUUAUCAUGGAUAAAAAAAGGGAAAUAAGUAGAUGGUAUGGUCUUCAUAUGGACAACUCUUUCCUGCAGAGAAUCAGCAGUGAAAAAAGCAGCUUAUGAAAGCUUGAGUAUCGGCCAGGAUGAUUUGGCGUAGACAAGAUAAUGAUUAUGAACGUUUCUGGGGAAGGUUGUAGUGUUCGUAGACUGGAAUUGUCAAACAGUUUAGAUAUAGAUUGGAAGACAGACUUCAUUCAACUGCCAGAAUUUUAAAUCAUCUCAAUAAUCUUCUGUUUGAUAGUCUAUGCGUGUCGAGCGACAAUGCUUCCUUAUACAGUGCUUCUUGCUGACAUCAUUCUUAUGCUGCAUAAUUCACCUGUUUAAACUCCGUGUUUUUCCUGUACAGGCAAAUUUACAUUCAUUAUAAGAAACCUUGCAGUAAUUUCCAAGGGCUCGUCGAUGAGGGCAGCAUGCACCCCAGGCUUAGAUGUGCAUUCAAGAACCUCAUACUUUGCAAUUGUUGAAGAUACACUCCUCCUAAGCAAGUUCUUGGUAUCAUCUACAAGGUUAUCUGCGAUUACGAAUUUGGCUAAAUUGGGAAAACAGUCAAUCUAUAACAUGUCAAGCGAUAUCGCUGACGAUGCAUACACAUUCCAACUGAAAUAAAUAAAAAUAAAUAUAGCACCAAAUGCAAGAAUCAUUGGCAUGAUGCCAUUCUUCCAGUGAAAUAAAAUCCUUCUUCCGAUCUAAAUCUGGAAUCCUUUACGAUUCAGACUACUAAAUACCUCAUGAGGGUUGCGACGUAAUAUAUACAU